rnacentral:rRNA from 1 species
AAAUUGAAGAGUUUGAUCAUGGCUCAGAUUGAACGCUGGCGGCAGGCCUAACACAUGCAAGUCGAACGGUAACAGGAAGCAGCUUGCUGUUUCGCUGACGAGUGGCGGACGGGUGAGUAAUGUCUGGGAAGCUGCCUGAUGGAGGGGGAUAACUACUGGAAACGGUAGCUAAUACCGCAUAA